rnacentral:rRNA from 1 species
UACGUAGGGUGCAAGCGUUAUCCGGAUUCACUGGGCUUAAAGGGUGCGUAGGUGGGCAUGUAAGUCAGUGGUGAAAUCUCCGGGCUUAACCCGGAAACUGCCAUUGAUACUAUAUGUCUUGAAUACCAUGGAGGUGAGCGGAAUAUGUCAUGUAGCGGUGAAAUGCUUAGAUAUGACAUAGAACACCAAUUGCGAAGGCAGCUCACUACGCGGUUAUUGACACUGAGGCACGAAAGCGUGGGGAUCAAACAGG